GAGUGGGGCGGGGGUAAAGCAGGUUCUUUGAGAGGUGAUUGGCUGAGUCGGCCGCGGGGCGGGAAGGGGUAAGAUUCGGUUAGGGAUUCGUGAGAGACGAUCGGAAGUUGGCUGCGGUCGUGGUUGAGCCUGGUGUUCAGAGAAAGGAGGAGCGUUUGCGGACUCGGUGUCUGUCAGCAGACACACGUCCCACCACAGAAGGCAGGCACCUGGGCCCCUUCCCCGGACCUCACCUUCUUCUGUAAGGCGCAGUGAAAGACAAAGAUGAAGACCCCCUGGAAGGCGUUGAAGGUGGUGAAGAGAUAGGCCAUGACCACCGACUCCUUGUUGAUGAAGAGGAGGCCGAAAGCCCAGGAAGAGCAGCUCAGCCAGGAAGAGGUUGAUGCACAGGUUCUUGUGGAUGGUGUUCCGGUCAGUCUGCAGUCCCCGCAGGAAGCAGAAGGUGGAGAUGCAGAUUGCCAGGCAGACCAGGGAGAUGACGAUGCCCACCCAGGGUGCCUUGGGAGAAGGUGGGACCAUGACCAGAGAGAACCAGACGUAUGGCCUCACGCCCCUGGCAAGACUCGGGCCCCCCAUGCCCACGAAGCUGGCCUUCCCUGGCACCGCCCAUGCAGCGCUCUCUAUGCCAUGCAAAGCCGGGCCAGCAAGUGGGCCCGCCCGGGGGAGCGGAGUGCCGGCCAGCUUACGAU